UGUUCUUCCUUCCUUUCCUUAUGGCUGAAUCCCCCAAUGAGGAGAUGUGCCAGUAAAUAGAUCUGGAGUCAGGUAGAAGAGAUUAUGUUGUUCCCAGAGAUGAGUAGGGAGAUGCACAACAACAAAGUAGAAAAUAUGACAGAUACAGAUAUAAUAACGAAAAUGGAAAGACUAUAUUUAUGACAACUGAGGCCGGUAUAUACAUGGACUGGCUAUAGGAGACUUCUAAGAAAGACAGAGGCUCGAACGUAUAAUCGGCUAGACCAAAAGAUAGUUUCCAGUCCAGACAGAUGGAACAGCAUCACUGCUACGUCGAGAAGGUGCUAUGCGCCUCGACGCCAAAAUAAAACUGGUUUCAAGAAAAUCAGCCAACUGACAAUCUCACUAAUCAUCUCUGAUACUGGAGUCUAUAAUAUUCCGGUUACAGACACAAAUCGUCGAAAAGCUAAACCAUUGAUUUUUUUAAAAAACAUUCUUCUAGAACUAAUCAAUUAUCAGACUCCGUUUUAUGUUUGUAUCUAAUUGUGCCUGUAAUUGAAAACUUGAUUGUGAAAAUACGAACAAUGAACUGCUGGUCGUCAAAAGUUACAUGUGUUUUCUUAUAACUCUAAACGUCGUUAGCUGCUAGUCAACUUUGCAACUGCAAAUUUUUUGUCACACAUCUAUUGAAGCAAAUUAGUCGAACUGGAAAAACUGCAAAAACUGAAGGAUAGAAUAUUUUGGUGAAACGUUUAAUUUAAGCGUAUUCACAUCGAUGUAUUUAUUAUGGCUAAUUAUUUAAUUUCAUGUUACUUCCCAUGAAACAAAUAUAUUUAUGCGCUAUUGUAUUUAUUGUAAGUGUCUUAUGCAAUACACAAGCAUAUAUUUCACAAUUCUUCAGUAACAAUAAAAUACGGAAAUGAAGGACAAAAGUUUCAGCGAAAUGUCCUAUUCGUGAUAGUCAUAGUUUAUCAAAAUUCAUAUAAUUUGUUAUUUUACUUUUGAUUUAUUGUAACGGUCAUUACGCCUUCAGUUUUUAUUAAAACGAGCUACAGAGUUAUAUCAAUAUUAUUGUAAUAUUACUUAUCGUAAAAUUUCUAUCUAUUAUACAAUAAACAUUUUGAAUUCA